UAGGGAAUAUUGGACAAUGGGGGCAACCCUGAUCCAGCCAUGCCGCGUGAGUGAAGAAGGCCCUCGGGUUGUAAAGCUCUUUUGUCCGGAAAGAAAAGCAUUCGGUGAAUACCCGGAUGUUCUGACGGUACCGGAAGAAUAAGCACCGGCUAACUUCGUGCCAGCAGCCGCGGUAAUACGAAGGGUGCAAGCGUUACUCGGAAUUACUGGGCGUAAAGCGUGCGUAGGUGGUUGUUUAAGUCUGAUGUGAAAGCCCUGGGCUCAACCUGGGAAUGUCAUUGGAAACUGGGCAGCUAGAGUGCGGUAGAGGGUAGUGGAAUUCCCGGUGUAGCAGUGAAAUGCGUAGAGAUCGGGAGGAACAUCUGUGGCGAAGGCGACUGCCUGGACCAGCACUGACACUGAGGCACGAAAGCGUGGGGAGCAAACA
rnacentral:rRNA from 1 species